UAAUACGAAGGGGGCAAGCGUUGUCCGGAAUCAUUGGGCGUAAAGAGCGUGUAGGCGGCCCGGUAAGUCCGCUGUGAAAGUCCAGGGCUCAACCCUGGAAAGCCGGUGGAUACUGUCGGGCUCGAGUCCGGAAGAGGUGAGUGGAAUUCCUGGUGUAGCGGUGAAAUGCGCAGAUAUCAGGAGGAACACCGAUGGCGAAGGCAGCUCACUGGGACGGUACUGACGCUGAGACGCGAAAGCGUGGGGAGCAAACAGGAUUAGAUACCCUGGUAGUCCACGCUGUAAACGAUGGUCACUAGGUGUGGGGGGUGUCGACUCCCUCCGUGCCGGAGCUAACGCAUUAAGUGACCCGCCUGGGGAGUACGGCCGCAAGGCU
rnacentral:rRNA from 1 species